rnacentral:rRNA from 1 species
UAGGGAAUCUUCCGCAAUGGACGCAAGUCUGACGGAGCAACGCCGCGUGAGUGAAGAAGGAUUUCGGUUCGUAAAACUCUGUUGUUAGAGAAGAACAGCGCAUAGAGUAACUGUUAUGCGUGUGACGGUAUCUAACCAGAAAGCCACGGCUAACUACGUGCCAGCAGCCGCGGUAAUACGUAGGUGGCAAGCGUUGUCCGGAUUUAUUGGGCGUAAAGCGAGCGCAGGCGGUCAAUUAAGUCUGGUGUGAAAGCCCCCGGCUCAACCGGGGAGGGUCAUUGGAAACUGGUUGACUUGAGUGCAGAAGAAGAGAGUGGAAUUCCAUGUGUGGCGGUGAAAUGCGUAGAUAUAUGGAGGAACACCAGUGGCGAAGGCGACUCUCUGGUCUGUAACUGACGCUGAGGCUCGAAAGCGUGGGUAGCAAACAGG